rnacentral:misc_RNA from 1 species
UUGAAGAGCAAUCUGUUGCAGGUCCCUUAGGCGUUGGCUACCCAUUUCCACCAAAAACGAAAAAAGAAGAGCAAGCUUCAACAGAUUUUGAUCCUAAAGCCAGUGACUAUAAUCGGGAUAACUGGUUUGAUUCAUAGGAUUUAGAUCAAUAAAUUUUGCUGAAAACGGAAAAAAAGGUAGACAGAGGAACAAGAUCAUUAUCCCUG